rnacentral:lncRNA from 10 species
GGACUAUUUUAAAUAGGAUGGUCAAGGAAAGGCUUGUCUGAGCUGAGACCUGAAGAGCAAGAAGCAAAUAAGUGAAUAUACUGGGGAAUGAUCUGGAGAAGAGGCAAGAACCAGUGCAAAGUUCCUGAGGCAGUAACAGGCUUGACUUCUUCAAGGAACAGAAAAAAAGGCAGCAAGGUGAUAAUUAAUGAGGAGAGGGAAAAAGAUGAGCUUGGAAAGGCAGGCAGGGACCAGAUCACAUGGGACCUGUUGUACCUUGCUAACAGGUUGGGACUUUUUACGAACAAUGAAAAGCCAUUGAAGAAUUUAUAUGAGCAUCUAAGAACUUACAGACAACAAGAAAAGGGAUACCUUAAGAAAUCAGAUUCAGUUAAA